UGCCAGCCGCCGCGGUAAUACAGAGGGUGCAAGCGUUAAUCGGAGUUACUGGGCGUAAAGCGCACGUAGGCGGAUAUGACAGUCAGAUGUGAAAUCCCUGGGCUCAACCUAGGAACUGCAUUUGAUACUACAUGUCUAGAGUAUGGUAGAGGGAAGUGGAAUUUCCGGUGUAGCGGUGAAAUGCAUAGAUAUCGGAAGGAACAUCAGUGGCGAAGGCGACUUCCUGGACCAAUACUGACGCUGAGAUGCCAAAGCAUGGGGAGCAAACAGCAUUAGAUA
rnacentral:rRNA from 1 species